rnacentral:lncRNA from 1 species
CAUUUUUCUCAUUCCUUCUCCCCACCCCUUUUAUCUCUUACUCUUUCUUUUUUCUCUCUUACAUCACUUUCUCCUUCCUGCUUACUCUCCAUUUAUACUCUUUCUUUCUCUCUGUUUCUCUUUCCACAACUCUAUCCACUCUCCCCUUUCCCUUUUACUCUUCCACUUUAUCUCCUACUCUCUCCUUUUAUUUCUUACUCUCUCCCUUUCCACCUUUCUUUCUUUAACCUGUCCUAUCACCUCCCCAAUUCCUCUCCUAUUAUUGUGUUCCGUUGUUCAACUUUAUCCUCUUCUUCUUCUCUCAUUCUCUUUCUCUCUCUCAUUUCAAUUUUCCUCUCAACGCCCUCAUUCUUAUUUCAUAUGAAACUAUGGCUUUAUCAUCUCCCUAUUCUUAUCUCCCUCUUACUCUUCAACUCCUCAUCACACUCUUUCUUUCUCUCACUUUCACUCCUACUCUCUAUCUCUCCCUAUUCUUCGCUUGCGCUCUUCCCGCCUCUAACGUUCAAUGUCAGACACGCAUACUCAAACACACACACACGCGCUUAUGGAAACGCACACACGUACACAUACAUAGGCUCACAACCACAAACUCUCUCUCUCUCUCUCUCACCGUGUCGCUGCAACUUCAGUUUCUACAUCGUUAUGUAGAGGAAUCGUUCAUAUGUGUAUGACUUAAACUGGAGUACUGGAGUUUUAAUUGAUAUAUCUAUCCAUCUAUCUGUCAAUCAAGUUACUCCAGUUAUCUUUCAGUCUACUCCUACAUCUCCCAAUCCCACUCUUUCCCACCUCUCUCUCUCUCUCUCUCUCUCUCUCUCUCUCUCUGUCGUUCUCUCUCUUUCUCUGCCUGUCUAUAUAUAUAUAUAUAUAUAUAUAUAUAUAUAAAUAUAUAUAUAUUUACAUACAUAAAAUCAAUUUACAUAUCUCUCAAUUAUGUAUAUAUAAUCUUCAAAAGUGUAACUCGGAUUUACUACUACUACUACUACUACUACUACUACUACUACUACUACUAGCAUUGUUAUUGCUAUAAUUGUUAUUGAUAUCAACAUCCCUAUUACUGUAGAAAUACAAAUGCGACUACAAUUACUAUAAAAAUUACAAAUCGGUA